rnacentral:rRNA from 1 species
AUUGAACGCUGGCGGCAGGCCUAACACAUGCAAGUCGAACGGUAACAGGAAGCAGCUUGCUUCUUUGCUGACGAGUGGCGGGCGGGUGAGUAAUGUCUGGGAAACUGCCUGAUGGAGGGGGAUAACUACUGGAAACGGUAGCUAAUACCGCAUAACGUCGCAAGCCCAAAGAGGGGGACCUUCGUGCCUCUUGCCAUCGGAUGUGCCCAGAUGGGAUUAGCUAGUAGGUGGGGUAACGGCUCCCCUAGGCGACGAUCCCUAGCUGGUCUGAGAGGAUGACCGGCCACACGGGAACUGAGACACGGUCCAGACUCCUACGGGAGGCAGCAGUGGGGAAUAUUGCACAAUGGGCGCAAGCCUGAUGCAGCCAUGCCGCGUGUAUGAAGAAGGCCUUCGGGUUGUAAAGUACUUUCAGCGGGGAGGAAGGGAGUAAAGUUAAUACCUUUGCUCAUUGACGGUACCCGCAGAAGAAGCACCGGCUAACUCCGUG